AAUGCAGAUGCACACACCCUAAUUGACCAUUUUACUUUGUUAACACCAGACAAUUACCCAUGAAGGUGUUAAUAUUAAUAAACAUGUGCUAUUUGUAAAACAUCAUGUCUAAAUAGGUUAAUGAUGCCAUAAUGAAACACAAUAAUAGGAAUUUCCUACAGGUAACUUUGCAAGGGGUAAAAUUUAAGAUGGCAUCCUUAACCUGGAAGGCUCUAUUAUGGUCAAAAGGUGUUGAUAUAUUAAUGAUGUCAAAAAGUGAUCAUUAUACGAAAGGCUGGCCAGAAAUGGCAGACAUGCUAAACCUGAAUUUAGCAUGUCCUUACUGAGUGUUGUUGUAACUUUACUGCAACAUUUAAAGUUGAUUAAUGACAGAAAUAUAUUCUCUAUCUUGCCUUUCUAUGCAAAAUCAUGUAUCCUUUAUGAUCAUUGAUCCAGUUGUAGAACUUUUGUAUGUCAAAGUCAUGCAAUAAAUUAAGUUGGCUUGAAAUUAGAAUAGAAGCCAUAACUUCUGCCUGGUAUUUUGGUUAGAGCAUCUCAGGG